ACGCGGCUCCGUUCCGUUCCGUUCCGUUCCGUUCUUACCUCAGCUAAACUGGGAUCGAUUCGGCAAAUCCCGGCCAGAGUCGGCCCUUCGGCCACACUCGGCUGUUGUCGGCCACACUCGGCUGUUGUCGGCCACACUCGGCUGUUGUCGGCCACGCUCGGCUGUUGUCGGCCACGCUCGGCUGUUGUCGGCUACACUCGGCCACACUCGGCUGUUGUCGGCCACACUCGGCUGUUGUCGGCCACGCUCGGCUCUUCGGCCGUACCUGACUCUGCUCCGCGGUGCAAUGGCGGCCGGUGGCAGGGCGCCGCUCCCCGGCCUGAGCCCCGUGAGGGGACAGAGCGCUGGGACAGCCGCCUCAGCCCGGGUCACCCAGUCCCUGCCGCCCCCGCGUCCCCCGGAGCGCGCCCUGCAGCGCAGAACGCGGCCUGGGAGCCAGGAGCGGGGACAAUCCCCUCGGCUCGGCAGCAGCGCCGGGAGGCAGCGGGCGGUGCCCUCAGGGCAGGACAAAUCAUCAAACUCCUCCCAUCUUUGCCAAAAGCUUUGGUGUUUAAGCAGCCAAAGGCAAGAGGCUUCAGCAGCAGGGGUCUGUGCUGGAGGGCUCUGGUCCUGCCCGUGCUGUGGGUAAGUCAGAGGGACACAGGGCUCCUCUUUUCCUCUCUGCUGGGAUUCACUGCCAUGGGAAUGCCAUUUCUGACAGCCCAGCCCUGGCUGUGUCUGCUGGAGAAGGGCAGAGGUGAAGAGACAAAUGCCAGAGUUGCCUGGGGAUGAUGGAGUUGUGGUGUUGGCUGUGCCCUGAGGGGCAGCUUGGGCAUUAUCUGUGCACCUAAGGACUGCUCUGGGGCUUCAGGAGCUCUCAGUGUAUUCCCAGCUCUGCCAGGGCUGGCAGCUGGGGCAGGGCUGGGUGACAGCCUCUGGUUGGGCUGGGGGCAGGCACUGGCCUGGCACAGAUGCAGGGGCAGGGCUGGGAGGAUUUGGGAGCAGUGGGAGGAGAAUGAGGGAUGGUGCUGGGCAGAGGGGUCAGCCUGUGCUCGUGUCAGCACAGCCCUGCAGGGCACUGGCAUCUGGGAACAGCUCCAGCUCUCCUGGUGUCCAGGGAUGGGGUCUGAGGGACUGGCUUUACCUGUGGCUUCCCAGGUCAGCAGGAACAAGGGGGAAUGUGGUGCCAGAGCUGUGGCCCAUCAGGCUGUGUUUCCCUCUGGGAAAGCAGAACAGUCUCUGGGCUGAGGUGAGUUUCCUGCAAGUGCUUAGAAGAGCAAUCCAGGGCAAAGGGAGUUCAGGAAUUGCAUCUGCUGCUGGGAACAGUGCCUUAGGCUUGCUUAGUUUGUGUCUGUGAGAGGUGGCCUUUGGGCUGGAGAGGUGCUGUUGGGAACAAAAGAU
rnacentral:lncRNA from 1 species